rnacentral:pre_miRNA from 14 species
AAUGUUUCUUGCUUAAAUGGGUAUUCCAUGAAAGUGAUUCACACUCACUAUGUAGACCUAACUACGAGUCGAUUUCUCUCUUCAUGAGAUGCUCAUUUAAGCAAGCA